AAGAGUCCCAAAUAGGACGAAACGUGCGUC
rnacentral:hammerhead_ribozyme from 1 species